UACGAGUGCCUCUAGCGUUAUCCGGAAUCACUGGGCUUAAAGCGUGUGUAGGCGGCCCGUUAAGUGCCUCGUGAAAUCCCCCGGCUCAACCGGGGAACUGCCGGGCAUACUGGCGGGCUUGGGUCGCUCAGGGGCAGACGGAACAGGCGGUGGAGCGGUGAAAUGCGUAGAUAUCGGAAGGAACACCUGUGGCGAAAGCGGCUCACUGGACCAUUACUGACGCUGAGGCACGAAAGCUAGGGGAGCAAACAGG
rnacentral:rRNA from 1 species